rnacentral:rRNA from 1 species
CAGCCGCCGCGGUAAUACGUAGGUGGCAAGCGUUGUCCGGAUUUAUUGGGCGUAAAGCGAGCGCAGGCGGUCAAUUAAGUCUGAUGUGAAAGCCCCCGGCUCAACCGGGGAGGGUCAUUGGAAACUGGUUGACUUGAGUGCAGAAGAGGAGAGUGGAAUUCCAUGUGUAGCGGUGAAAUGCGUAGAUAUAUGGAGGAACACCAGUGGCGAAGGCGACUCUCUGGUCUGUAACUGACGCUGAGGCUCGAAAGCGUGGGUAGCAAACAGGAUUAGAUACCCGCGUAGUCCCUGUCUCUUAUAA